GGGUGAAAGCAGGGGAUCUUCGGACCUUGCGCGAUUGAAUGAGCCGAUGUCGGAUUAGCUAGUUGGCGGGGUAAAGGCCCACCAAGGCGACGAUCCGUAGCUGGUCUGAGAGGAUGAUCAGCCACACUGGAACUGAGACACGGUCCAGACUCCUACGGGAGGCAGCAGUGGGGAAUAUUGGACAAUGGGCGCAAGCCUGAUCCAGCCAUACCGCGUGGGUGAAGAAGGCCUUCGGGUUGUAAAGCCCUUUUGUUGGGAAAGAAAUCCAGCUGGCUAAUACCCGGUUGGGAUGACGGUACCCAAAGAAUAAGCACCGGCUAACUUCGUGCCAGCAGCCGCGGUAAUACGAAGGGUGCAAGCGUUACUCGGAAUUACUGGGCGUAAAGCGUGCGUAGGUGGUCGUUUAAGUCCGUUGUGAAAGCCCUGGGCUCAACCUGGGAACUGCAGUGGAUACUGGGCGACUAGAGUGUGGUAGAGGGUAGCGGAAUUCCUGGUGUAGCAGUGAAAUGCGUAGAGAUCAGGAGGAACAUCCAUGGCGAAGGCAGCUAC
rnacentral:rRNA from 1 species